rnacentral:rRNA from 1 species
AGAGUUUGAUCCUGGCUCAGGAUGAACGCUGGCGGCGUGCCUAAUACAUGCAAGUCGAGCGAACCACUUCGGUGGUGAGCGGCGAACGGGUGAGUAACACGUAGGUUAUCUGCCCAUCAGACGGGGACAACGAUUGGAAACGAUCGCUAAUACCGGAUAGGACGAAAGUUUAAAGGUGCUUCGGCACCACUGAUGGAUGAGCCUGCGGCGCAUUAGCUAGUUGGUAGGGUAACGGCCUACCAAGGCGACGAUGCGUAGCCGACCUGAGAGGGUGACCGGCCACACUGGGACUGAGACACGGCCCAGACUCCUACGGGAGGCAGCAGUAGGGAAUCUUCGGCAAUGGGGGCAACCCUGACCGAGCAACGCCGCGUGAGUGAAGAAGGUUUUCGGAUCGUAAAGCUCUGUUGUAAGUCAAGAACGAGUGUGAGAGUGGAAAGUUCACACUGUGACGGUAGCUUACCAGAAAGGGACGGCUAACUACGUGCCAGCAGCCGCGGUAAUACGUAGGUCCCGAGCGUUGUCCGGAUUUAUUGGGCGUAAAGCGAGCGCAGGCGGUUUAAUAAGUCUGAAGUUAAAGGCAGUGGCUUAACCAUUGUUCGCUUUGGAAACUGUUAAACUUGAGUGCAGAAGGGGAGAGUGGAAUUCCAUGUGUAGCGGUGAAAUGCGUAGAUAUAUGGAGGAACACCGGUGGCGAAAGCGGCUCUCUGGUCUGUAACUGACGCUGAGGCUCGAAAGCGUGGGGAGCGAACAGGAUUAGAUACCCUGGUAGUCCACGCCGUAAACGAUGAGUGCUAGGUGUUGGAUCCUUUCCGGGAUUCAGUGCCGCAGCUAACGCAUUAAGCACUCCGCCUGGGGAGUACGACCGCAAGGUUGAAACUCAAAGGAAUUGACGGGGGCCCGCAC